rnacentral:misc_RNA from 1 species
UUCAUUCAUCAUGUCAUCCAAACUCAAAAUCCUAAUUCUCUAGUUAUCAUUUUUUCUCACCCUUUGGAUGCCAAAAGAUGAAAACAAAAAUCAGGUUAGCUUUUCUCUUUCACAACUUUUCUUCUUUUUUUUUUUUAAUUCCUCACCUUUUUCUUGCCUAGGGGUGCCUGGUGCCGCCCUGCAUGGGCCUCGUCUGAGCACCUAGUUGAAGACACCUUGCCUGGAGGCGUCCCAGGCAAGGUUGCCCAACCAAGGCACCUGGGCAAGCGCCUGGGCACCUCUUGACAAACACUAGUUG